rnacentral:misc_RNA from 1 species
AAAGUCGUAACAAGGUUUCCGUAGGUGAACCUGCGGAAGGAUCAUUAAUAACGCCCCGUUUUUGUCGCAAGAUUUAAACGGGUUCAAUACCCCAAACCGUGUCUAUCUACCAUUGUUGCUUUGGCAGGCCGCCUUCGGGCGUCGGCUCCGGCUGAUCAGCGCCUGCCAGAGGCUCAAAAACUCUGUGUUUAGUGAUGUCUGAGUACUAUAAAAACUUUUUAAAA